UACUUGUAGACUAAUCCUCAAAGCGCUGGGCGCUGCACGGAGCCGUCUUCGCACUUUUUCAGAGAUUCUAUGAGUUCUGUGUAGUGAGCUAAACCCUAGCAAGGAAAGAUUAUCAUUCCACUCCGUUGCUUUACUUGUAGAAAGGUAGCUAAACCCACUUUAAUAUAUUUUCUUUUAAUGUAAAUAUAAAAAAUUUCAUGGUUUUGGUAGGUAAUUGGAAACAAAUGGGAUACGUACCUUGAUUUGCUUCAAGCUGAUUAUGCAGAAGGGUGACUAUCUUGUUAGUUCUAUAGUUGAUUUUUUCUUUGUUGUUAUGUUAUUUGGAAACUUCUUUUUUUAAUUGUGCUUAUAGUUUUAGUUGAGUCUGAGGUAUGUGUUUUAAUUGAAGUUUGUCUUUGAAUCCAAAGCUUAUUGAAUAUUUAGAUCUAAAUACAUAAGCAUACAACCAUCAAUUUGGAAACCUUAUGCAUUCCUUGUAGUUGUAAACCAAAUAAUUUGUUCAUGGGCAAGUUAGUAGUCUAACUGUGUACCUGAAGUAUUUAAGAAUUGAACUUAAUCACUUAUCUUAUAUUCUGUCAUUUGAUAUUUGGAGUUUGUAAGUAUAUCUUGAAACAUAAAAUCCACUCACCAUGUUGUUGUUCGUCUAGGAAGCACUUAGAUUUAUCUGAUCCUUGGUGAUCGAUUUUAAUUUUAAAAUACUUGUAACUUUUUUUUUUCCCUCCUGUAUACGCGGUCUUAUCUAUUUCCUAUGCUUUUUUGGGAAAUCAAGUUAGCAGUAAGGCCAAGUUGAAAUAUAAUUCUUUUGUAAGUUUUGGAGUUAAUUUGUGGAUUCAGCUUGAAUUAUUUGAGAGAAGUUAUUAUCAUUUGCAUUGAAAUGUUGUUUAUCUCUUUAUUUCUUGAGAAUAUCUAUUCAAAUUAUUGCUUUUCAUUUGCUAGGAUUACACCAUAGACAUUCUAUGUAUUCAACCAUUUUAUCACUUUUGAGCGAUCAAGCAGAAAUCAAUAGACUGAUGGUUCUCUUUCUGAAUGCACGUCUCCUUUUGUUAACCUAAGACGGUGAAGUCAUUUUGAUUUUUACCUCCCCCGUUCCAUCUUUUAGGAGUUAAACAUGUACUCAUCUCUGUUACAAUACAUUCAGGUAUCUUGAUGUUGCUAGCCAGAGGGUUUCCAACCUUACAUCUUCAAUGGUGUGGCUUUGACGCUUUGUUCUUUUGGUGGUUGGUAUAUGGUCUUUUAUACUUAAUUAAACUUCAGAAUUUUGCGUUUUACUAUUAAAUGUUGAAGUGUUCUGCUCGAUCAUAGAAUUUGCACAUAUUGCUAGAGAAUGAAAACUCAACUUAUUGAUCAGUUGACAGUCUGGAUGAGUUUCUAAAAUUUGAGAUUUUUAUGCACUGUUCCAAAAUCUAUCUGCUGUUCUUUUUUCGUAUAUCUGUGGUUUUUUGAAAUAUUAAAGUUUUUAUAAAUAAAAGCUGUUUGCCUCUUUAGUUCCUUAAGAAAAAAAGGUGCUGGGAGUAGCCGGGGAAUUUAAGGAUUUGACUAGGAAAAUAGCUUGUAUAUAACGUUUUUGUCAGUAUAAAAUUAUUUCAAACGGCCUUACAAGUGACUUACAACAUUUGAUCAUUAGCCUGCUCUUUUAGACAUGAUUACAGCAUUUAUCACUGAUUAUCUUAGUUCUCAUUGACGGAUGAUGUUAUAUCUAAAUGAUUGUGAUUACAGAAGAAAGCAUUGCAAAGAAAUUGUGGCAUGCAUGGUCAAGAAUCAUUUAAUUGAAAUUCAGUCUUGAGGAUGCAUCAGUCGAUUUCUUAAUAAAGUAUGCCUCCGUUCCUCUCUUAAUGUCUCUUUUCUUUCUUUUUUUUUCUUUUCCCCUCAAGUCAGUGCCAUUAAGGAAUCAAUUUCUUGAUUCAUUUAUUGUAUGUAUUCAUUGGUGGUGUUCUGCACAUGCUGUUAAGGAAUUUUUUUUUUUUGCCCCAGCAUGCAAUUAAAUUUCCAUUUUGUGCUUUUAGCCUACUUGUCUUUUACUUUAGUAGGUUUAUCUAUGCUCUGUUUAGAAGUUUCUUGUUGAAUGCCUUCUACUAUGCAUAUGAAAAAUGAAUAGACAGACUAUCGUG
rnacentral:lncRNA from 1 species